CCUACGGGCGGCUGCAGUGGGGAAUAUUGCACAAUGGGCGCAAGCCUGAUGCAGCCAUGCCGCGUGUGUGAAGAAGGCCUUCGGGUUGUAAAGCACUUUCAGCGGGGAGGAAGGCGGUGAGGUUAAUAACCUCAUCGAUUGACGUUACCCGCAGAAGAAGCACCGGCUAACUCCGUGCCAGCAGCCGCGGUAAUACGGAGGGUGCAAGCGUUAAUCGACGUUACUGGGCGUAAAGCGCACGCGUGAAGUCCCCGGGCUCAACCUGGGAACUGCAUUCGAAACUGGCAGGCUAGAGUCUUGUAGAGGGGGGUAGAAUUCCAGGUGUAGCGGUGAAAUGCGUAGAGAUCUGGAGGAAUACCGGUGGCGAAGGCGGCCCCCUGGACAAAGACUGACGCUCAGGUGCGAAAGCGUGGGGAGCAAACAGGAUUAGAUACCCCUGUAGUC
rnacentral:rRNA from 1 species